rnacentral:lncRNA from 1 species
AGGGAGAAGGUGUGACGUUUCUUGGUCAUAGGAGGGAGUGUGAUCUGACACCAGAGGACUUAAUAUAACAUUGCAGUGUUAACAUCUUCACUGGCAGAUUCAUGGACUUUCCCCCUCCUGAAUGCAUUUCAACACCUUGAAAUGAACGAUGCCUCAUGUCUCUGCAGGGUGGACAUAGCUCUAACUCUCUGAAGCUGAUUAUAUGUCAAGUUCUGUGUGAAAUGAGAGACCAUGGGGAUUCAUUAUUGCUGGAGUUGACGGUAUUGCAGUUUUAUAACCAUCUAAUAAAUUAGCAUUUAAUACUGAGAGAUUUCAUCUUAAACUCAGAGGAUUGCUUUGUUUUAAAGAAGAUUUUUGCAAGGAGAAGCAAUGGAAACCAUUCAGAAAAUGUGGGAGAUAAAAAUCCUAUUCAAGAAAACGGAUCUUGGAUCUUUGCAUUCACUUGAUUUGUCAGAAUAUUAUUCUGUGCUAAAAAAUAGAAGGGAUUAAAUGUUAAAAAUCACUGAGGCACAA